GGGGUUGUGGCUCAGUGGUAGAGCACUCACCGGACAUGUGGGGGGCCUGGGUUCGAUCCUCAGCACCACA
rnacentral:tRNA from 1 species